AGUGAACGCUGGCGGCAGGCCUAAUACAUGCAAGUCGAACGGCAGCACAGCAGAGCUUGCUCUGUGGGUGGCGAGUGGCGGACGGGUGAGGAAUACGUGGGAAUCUGCCCAGUCGUGGGGGAUAACGUAGGGAAACUUACGCUAAUACCGCCUGCGCCCUUUGGGGGAAAGCCGGGGAUCUUCGGACCUGGCGCGAUUGGAUGAGCCCACGUCGGAUUAGCUAGUUGGAGGGGUAAAGGCCCACCAAGGCGACGAUCCGUAGCUGGUCUGAGAGGAUGAUAAGCCACACUGGAACUGAGACACGGUCCAGACUCCUACGGGAGGCAGCAGUAGGGAAUAUUGGACAAUGGGCGCAAGCCUGAUCCAGCCAUGCCGCGUGAGUGAAGAAGGCCCUCGGGUUGUAAAGCUCUUUUGUUGGGGAAGAAAAGCCUUGGGUUAAUACCCUGAGGUUCUGACGGUACCUAAAGAAUAAGCACCGGCUAACUUCGUGCCAGCAGCCGCCGUAAGAC
rnacentral:rRNA from 1 species